UCGAACCAACCGCCGGACUAUAAAUGCGGGAGCUGAUGUAGGGUUUCUGUCACCAGCAGCGGCUCGGGAGACCUCUCUCUCUCUCUUUUUCCUUCCGCUUCUCUUCUCGCUCGCUAGAUCACUUCUGUCUUGGAUUCGCUUGGUGCAGGUCGGGAAUGCUCCUUCCGUUCGCGUCUUUUCCCUGCGGUAUCGAGAAAGGGUCGGGUUCCCGCCUUGCAUCAACUGAAUCGGAGACGACAGUGAAAAGAGGGAUCGGGUCGAUACUGGUUGUCGGCUGUCCCGAAGCGUUUUCCCGGGCGAAAAGGUGCCAUCUUUCCCUCUGUGCUGUCGCGCCGUUUGGCUAUCUUGAAUUGCUUUUCUUGAUUACCAGAUAUUGAGUUUCGCGCCUGCUUCGGUGAUAUGGUUGAUAUGCGGCGAUCUGCUGUUUUUGCAUCUCGGUUUGGUAGGUUGAGCUUCCUUUUUAUUAGGAUCGCGUUCUUGCGAGCUGAAAGUCCAGGUUUUCAGGGAUUUGGACGGGGGUUUUUCUCUUUGUUAGUUGAUCGGAAAUCCUAAUGACUGGUUCCUUGGCGUUUUGGGACUUGAUCGGUGAAUACUCUCCUAAUUUUCUAGCUUUUUAAAUUUUUAAAGUUUUUAUUUUCUUUUAAGUUAUCGAUGCAUGAGAAAUGUUCAUAAGUUUUUCUCUGUGAGUCCUCAAUUUGUGGAUUCUUUUGAAGGAUCUGCUGGUUUGCUCUUAGGAAUCCAGGAACGUGAUUUCCGAUUUUUCACCAAGGUAAAUGCUUUUGACUUGUGGCUUUGAUAUCUAGAUCUUAUUUUCUAUUUGAUGUAAAGAUACUUUUCCGCAUUCUCAGAAUUUGGCAAAAGGCAACAGCCUUUCUGAUUGAUUGCUAUCAAAACUCGUUCCCAGCUGGCCUUUUAUAUAUUUCAAGUCUUCACUAGGGAACUGCUGGUGGUCCUGGUUGUUUCUUUGUUUAGCGGGGAUGCACACGUAUGGGCACAAACAUGCAGCUGUUGCGAGUAGAUGAGGCUUCACUCGUAGUUCGUUCUGCCUGAUUGAUCUGAAUCUCCUCUUUAUCUGCGAUCGGAUGUCCGACUUGUUAACUCAAUCGAGUUAGGAACCUUAAUUAAACUGAUAUUCCGCCCCGGUAAAAUCCAGACAAUGGACUGGAGUACAUAGUAUGAAACAUUUCCAGUUUCCAGAUCUGUAUGUUCUUGCCAAGUUUAAUUUAAAUGUCUUUGUCUUCCAAGUCUCACUCACUACAAAGACCCAUCAUCUAAAUCCUCAAAAAGUUUUCAAUCCUUUAGAUCUAUGUCAUGCUUACUAGUUUCUACUUCAUAGCCCAUACAUGCAGAAGCUCAUAUACGAUGGGUUCUGACUUCUUAUUUCUGCUUACAAAAAUGUCAUUUUUUUUAAUGUUGAUUUACAUCGGUUUAACACCAAAUGUUUAUAUACUUCUUUGGUUAUUUGUGUUCCAGCUCACAUGCUUCCAGUUCUAAGAAAGAACUAUAUAUAUAUAUAUAUAUCCAGAAUUUCCUUUUUUUGAUAAGCAAGCUGAAGCUCUGUAAUUCGGAAUUUCAUGGAUAAGUUGGGUACAGAAAUUUUAUUCUAGUAUAGAUAUCUGGUCGAGGACUUUCACUUGAUCCGAAAAAACUGAAAACCGUUGAGGAAUGAAAGACCGACAAAUGGAAUGAGAAGUGGGUCCAUUUUCAGGAUAAGGUGGCUGUUUCACAGACGUCUCUGUAAGAUUCUGGGUCACAGAUGAACAUGGAAGGGCACAGGUUACGUGUCACAAGGACUGUCGGCUCUUAUUCGUCAAGGUCUCUGUUUGGAGCUUAUCCUGGGGCUCCCCUUUGUUGAGUUUCUUGUGUCAAGAAUCCCCACAAUAUUCUGGCAGGGCUGGUCGGCGACAGUUCCUCUCAUUAACUUUUUCUCAUAUGGUCUGUUCUGUUUUAAUUCACUAUGAAACAAUGGCUUUGCACGUAAGUACUUGAUUACUGUCGUGCUGAUCAGGUAUCUGUCAAACAUUGUCUGUUUCUUAAUCAUUGAUCGUAGUUGAUGCACAAAAGAGAGAGAGAGAGCCGAUAAAAUGGGAAUUCAUAGCAAAGUUUGGGGACAAGAACGGACAUCAAGUAUAUUACGGAGAUCAAGUAUUACGCUGUUAAUUUGAUAGACCUUUCCUUAGUGAUUUUUCUCCACUCUGCCAUGUAUUCCUACUCUGAUUUCCUCUGUCAUCCAGGGGAGCAGCUUUGGGAGGCUUUUGAAUUGUUUCAGAUGGCGCUGUCACGGAUGCCUACCUACUUAUAAGGUGAAGUGCUACUAAAAUUAUUGAACAUGGAGAAAACAGAAACCUGUCACCAGAACAGUGACUAGUGCUUUCGUGGUGGAAUCAAGUUGUCCAGUUUAAGUAUCAACAGUUCAAAAAUUACGGGGGAUUUCGUUGCUGUAGUGCAGACUCGUUCUUGUUGUAGGCAACUUUAGCAGUAGCGCAUUUUCACUUUUGGGCCAGUGCUGUGGCAGAACAUUGGUGUUUCGCGCUCUCUGUUGGCGCUAGCUUCUUGAUUCUUGAGGCUUGAACAAGAGCACUAAUGAGAACUCAACAUUUCUUUGUCCAUCCACAGGACGGUCUGUUCUCCUGUCCCGGUUCCUCAGUUUAACAUGGGCUUCUUUCAGCAGCCUCCUCUAAAGUGCGGCCGGUGAAAGUGACGCGUGUGUAUAUAUAUAUAGAGAGAGAGAUAGAGAGAGAGAGAGAGAGGGAUGUUCAGACUCGAUUCACUAUUUUAUUUUCUCAAAUUUGGCUGAGGCUUCUCGCGAAGCCAGCUCGAGACGUAUGAUGAAUAAGAUACCUCGUUUGAGCUUGUUUAA